AACCACUGGUCUGGACUAGAAGUCAUGGGUACAUCAGCGGUGUCUUGCUCGAGACAGGUCUAGACCAGAAGGGUCUGGACCAGAAGCCAUGGGUUUAUAUUCGACGUCUUCGCGAUGUGAGAAGCCCUGUUUGAUAGCGACAUCGUGGAGGAGAAGAGCGCGAUUGCGUUUGCGGUGUGGUAGCCUCUGUUAUCAGGUGGUUUCGCGGCAACCGAACUUGUGAGUGAAGGUUUCCAUUUGGGGCUUUGCAAGAACUCUUCUUCUUUCCAAAAAAAUUCUUCUGGUUCUGAGGUUUCGUUGUAGGGGAAGCAACAUUAUCAUUCAAAAUGUCAACCUUGGGGUUUUGUCGAAAUUGGGUUUUCUAAAAUUGAAUUGGGGAUUUAUGGGGUUUGAUUCAUCUGUUUUCUUUGCAGAUUGGUAGUUGUAAUUUAGUGUUUCUGUGAUUGCAAAUUGUUCUUGUAAUUUGAGAUUUGAAAUUAGGGUUCCUGAACUUGUUUCAAUUAGGUGGUCGUGGUGAUUCUGUGAGGGUGGUGAUGGUGCUGCGCGAAGGAGAUGCGCAUCGAAUUUGUGAUGAAGAUGAUGAGGACGUGCGAUGAUGACGGCGGCGUUGUGCUUCUGCUCUUGGAUCGUUUGAUGAUGGCGUGAUGAUUCAAUGGUGCGAAGAAGAUGCACAAGCUUGGUGUGGCUAGCUCGACGAUGGCGACAACGCAAUGGAGGUGGGAGUUCGACGGAGAGUGGG
rnacentral:lncRNA from 1 species